UUUUUCGCAGGAGACAGGUUUUCUAAUGUAAAAAAAUACGAGGUUGAAUUUAACAAAGCAGCACAGUCCUUGACAGAAACAUUGGUUCCAAGCACCCAGAAGAAAGCUGCUUUAAAUCGAUUAGUUAAGGACAAUGUCGCUUUAAUAGCUGUUCUAGAAAGCAAAAUUUAGUAAUCAGGA